GAGAGUUGCCAUGCCUGAGAAGAGUGCAGGACAGAGAGGCAUGGCCGCCAAUGGAAGGAAUUAGGAGAGUGCGGCCCCGGGGGCCUCCCAACAGAGUCUGGAGCGGCCACCACAUAGAAUUUAGUCUCUGAGAAGAUAUGGGCACAGCGACAAGACUGCCUGGGUUGUGGCAUGAUAAUCACUGAGAAACACUGCUCCAUUCCCUUGCCUGCUGCCAAGGCUAGCCUAAACCUUGGAAAACAGACGAUACCCAGAGAGUUAAAUGUCUCAUACUGCCUAAGUCAAGGAGCACAGGGUGUGACACCGUUCCCAGUUUGUGUGCUGAAACUCAGGGCUCCAUGCAUGCUAGUCUAUGAAGUGAGCAGCUACCUCUGUUCAACACUCCGGCUGACCCACAUUCUGCCUCGCCACUGUCCUACAGCCACGACAUCCUGCAGGCACCACAGGUCCUCGGCACUGCAGCUGGCCAAAGAUGGGUUGACGUGUAUGAAAUGGAGGGACCAAGCGGCUUCCGUCCUUAAGCUGUAAAUCUCCAUUUUUUUGGUAAUAAAAACGAUAAAUAAAAAGAAAAGGAAACCAACUGAUCAACAUACAGACCUACCCAUCAUGAUAUUCAUUCACUAGAUGAGCUACAGGGGAAGGCGAAUAGUAAUGAAUAAGGUGGAUAUGUUGUAGCAUGUACCGUCCCCCAAAAUUGUGCGAACGUGGUCUGUUCCUAUGAAAAUAAUGCGUGCAUUUGCCGUCACGUAAAUGAAGCACUUGAUACUCUGUCAAGUCCUGGUGUCUCUAUUUGUAUCAUUCAGGGCAUAUAAAGUAGAAAUAACAAUUAUUUGAUUGCUGGCACUGCCGUACUUCGAUGGUUGGUUUAAUAAUGGAGACAGCGGCUGAGAUUCCAGCAGCGGGUGGCAUAUACAGCCAUAUACAGUGUAGACACUGGACAUAGGACAGUCCGUGUCCUG
rnacentral:sRNA from 1 species